GAUGAACGCUAGCGACAGGCUUAACACAUGCAAGUCGAGGGGCAGCAUAGAAGUAGCAAUACUUUGGUGGCGACCGGCGCACGGGUGAGUAACGCGUAUGCAACCUACCUAUCAGAGGGGAAUAACCCGGCGAAAGUCGGACUAAUACCGCAUAAAACAGGGGCACCGCGCGGGGAUAUUUGUUAAAGAAAUUCGCUGAUAGAUGGGCAUGCGUUCCAUUAGGUAGUGGGUGAGGUAACGGCUCACCAAGCCGACGAUGGAUAGGGGAACUGAGAGGUUGGUCCCCCACACUGGUACUGAGACACGGACCAGACUCCUACGGAAGGCAGCAGUGAGGAAUAUUGGUCAAUGGGCGAGAGCCUGAACCAGCCAAGUCGCGUGAAGGAAGAAGGAUCUAUGGUUCGUAAACUUCUUUUGCAGGGGAAUAAAGUGCGGGACGUGUCCUGUUUUGUAUGUACCCUGAGAAUAAGGAUCGGCUAACUCCGUGCCAGCAGCCGCCGUAAAAC
rnacentral:rRNA from 1 species